AUUAAACAGCAAAUAAACAUAUGGUGCUGAGGCCUUCUUUCUCUGAAAAAGGUCAUUUUCCCUGGUGAUGGGCUCCACUGGAGCAUUAAUGAACAGAAAGACAAGAGCUCCAGCUGAGAAGGUGCUGUUGACAGGUCAGUAGCAGUGGAGCAGGUGCAGGAAAUGCACUCAAACCCCACCCCUUCCUUGUGGGGAAGAGACAGAACAGAGACAGGAAGGCAAAAUGGUGGGAACCUGUAGAAGCAGGACUAUUGAUGGGCCUGCCCCUUCCAUCUCUGCUGAUCUUGUACACUGCUAAGUCCCCAUGGAGUGAUUUCCAGUGAGUAUGUAACAGAGGUGGAAUCUCCCCUUCUGGAGAUGUAGGCUCCCUUGUGUGUGUGGAGGGGGGUGGAGGAGCCUGGUGCCCUGAGCAAGGUCCUCAGGACUGGCCCAUAAUGGACAGAUAAGCUUCUGUAUUUGUGCAGU